CGGGCGUUAAGUUGCAGGGUAUAGACCCGAAACCCGGUGAUCUAGCCAUGGGCAGGUUGAAGGUUGGGUAACACUAACUGGAGGACCGAACCGACUAAUGUUGAAAAAUUAGCGGAUGACCUGUGGCUGGGGGUGAAAGGCCAAUCAAACCGGGAGAUAGCUGGUUCUCCCCGAAAGCUAUUUAGGUAGCGCCUCGUGAAUUCAUCUCCGGGGGUAGAGCACUGUUUCGGCUAGGGGGCCAUCCCGGCUUACCAACCCGAUGCAAACUGCGAAUACCGGAGAAUGUUAUCACGGGAGACACACGGCGGGUGCUAACGUCCGUCGUGAAGAGGGAAACAACCCAGACCGCCAGCUAAGGUCCCAAAGUCAUGGUUAAGUGGGAAACGAUGUGGGAAGGCCCAGACAGCCAGGAUGUUGGCUUAGAAGCAGCCAUCAUUUAAAGAAAGCGUAAUAGCUCACUGGUCGAGUCGGCCUGCGCGGAAGAUGUAACGGGGCUAAACCAUGCACCGAAGCUGCGGCAGCGACACUGUGUGUUGUUGGGUAGGGGAGCGUUCUGUAAGCCUGUGAAGGUGUGUCGUGAGGCAUGCUGGAGGUAUCAGAAGUGCGAAUGCUGACAUAAGUAACGAUAAAGCGGGUGAAAAGCCCGCUCGCCGGAAGACCAAGGGUUCCUGUCCAACGUUAAUCGGGGCAGGGUGAGUCGACCCCUAAGGCGAGGCCGAAAGGCGUAGUCGAUGGGAAACGGGUUAAUAUUCCCGUACUUGGUGUUACUGCGAAGGGGGGACGGAGAAGGCUAUGUUGGCCGGGCGACGGUUGUCCCGGUUUAAGCGUGUAGGUGUGUGUUCCAGGUAAAUCCGGUUCACUUUAACACUGAGGCGUGACGACGAGGCACUACGGUGCUGAAGCAACAAAUGCCCUGCUUCCAGGAAAAGCCUCUAAGCAUCAGGUAACAUCAAAUCGUACCCCAAACCGACACAGGUGGUCAGGUAGAGAAUACCAAGGCGCUUGAGAGAACUCGGGUGAAGGAACUAGGCAAAAUGGUGCCGUAACUUCGGGAGAAGGCACGCUGACACGUAGGUGAAGUGAUUUACUCAUGGAGCUGAAGUCAGUCGAAGAUACCAGCUGGCUGCAACUGUUUAUUAAAAACACAGCACUGUGCAAACACGAAAGUGGACGUAUACGGUGUGACGCCUGCCCGGUGCCGGAAGGUUAAUUGAUGGGGUCAGCGCAAGCGAAGCUCCUGAUCGAAGCCCCGGUAAACGGCGGCCGUAACUAUAACGGUCCUAAGGUAGCGAAAUUCCUUGUCGGGUAAGUUCCGACCUGCACGAAUGGCGUAAUGAUGGCCAGGCUGUCUCCACCCGAGACUCAGUGAAAUUGAACUCGCUGUGAAGAUGCAGUGUACCCGCGGCAAGACGGAAAGACCCCGUGAACCUUUACUAUAGCUUGACACUGAACAUUGAGCCUUGAUGUGUAGGAUAGGUGGGAGGCUUUGAAGUGUGGACGCCAGUCUGCAUGGAGCCGACCUUGAAAUACCACCCUUUAAUGUUUGAUGUUCUAACGUGGACCCGUUACCCGGGUUGCGGACAGUGUCUGGUGGGUAGUUUGACUGGGGCGGUCUCCUCCUAAAGAGUAACGGAGGAGCACGAAGGUUGGCUAAUCCUGGUCGGACAUCAGGAGGUUAGUGCAAUGGCAUAAGCCAGCUUGACUGCGAGCGUGACGGCGCGAGCAGGUGCGAAAGCAGGUCAUAGUGAUCCGGUGGUUCUGAAUGGAAGGGCCAUCGCUCAACGGAUAAAAGGUACUCCGGGGAUAACAGGCUGAUACCGCCCAAGAGUUCAUAUCGACGGCGGUGUUUGGCACCUCGAUGUCGGCUCAUCACAUCCUGGGGCUGAAGUAGGUCCCAAGGGUAUGGCUGUUCGCCAUUUAAAGUGGUACGCGAGCUGGGUUUAGAACGUCGUGAGACAGUUCGGUCCCUAUCUGCCGUGGGCGCUGGAGAACUGAGGGGGGCUGCUCCUAGUACGAGAGGACCGGAGUGGACGCAUCACUGGUGUUCGGGUUGUCAUGCCAAUGGCACUGCCCGGUAGCUAAAUGCGGAAGAGAUAAGUGCUGAAAGCAUCUAAGCACGAAACUUGCCCCGAGAUGAGUUCUCCCUGAGACUUAGAGUCUCCUGAAGGAACGUUGAAGACGACGACGU
rnacentral:rRNA from 1 species